rnacentral:rRNA from 1 species
UGGAUGUCGACAGAGUUUGAUUCUUGGUUCAGAUUGAAACGGUGGCGGCAUGCCUUACACAUGCAAGUCGAACGGCAGCACGGGGGCAACCCUGGUGGCGAGUGGCGAACGGGGUGAGUAAUACAUCGGAACGUGUCCUGUAGUGGGGGAUAGCCCGGCGAAAGCCGGAUUAAUACCGCAUACGCUCUACGGAGGAAAGGGGGGGAUCUUASGACCUCUCGCUACAGGGGCGGCCGAUGGCAGAUUAGCUAGUUGGUGGGGUAAAGGCCUACCAAGGCGACGAUCUGUAGCUGGUCUGAGAGGACGACCAGCCACACUGGGACUGAGACACGGCCCAGACUCCUACGGGAGGCAGCAGUGGGGAAUUUUGGACAAUGGGCGCAAGCCUGAUCCAGCAAUGCCGCGUGUGUGAAGAAGGCCUUCGGGUUGUAAAGCACUUUUGUCCGGAAAGAAAACCUCUGCCCUAAUACGGCGGGGGGAUGACGGUACCGGAAGAAUA